UACGGAGGGUGCAAGCGUUGUCCGGAAUCAUUGGGUGUAAAGGGUGCGUAGGCGGGCGUCUAAGUCUGGGGUGAAAUCUUGCCGCUUAACGGUAAAAUGGCCUUGGAUACUGGACGUCUUGAGUGUAGAAGAGGUAAGUGGAAUUCGUAGUGUAGCGGUGAAAUGCAUAGAUAUUACGAAGAACAUCAGUGGCGAAGGCG
rnacentral:rRNA from 1 species